CAGCCGCCGCGGUAAUACCGGCGGCCCGAGUGGCGGUCACUAUUAUUGGGCUUAAAGCGUCCGUAGCCGGGUUGGGAAGUCCUCCGGGAAAUCUGGCCGCUUAACGGUCAGAAUGCCGGAGGAUACUCCCAGCCUAGGGAGCGGGAGAGGCCGAGGGUAUUCCCGGGGUAGGGGUGAAAUCCUAUAAUCCCGGGAGGACCACCUGUGGGGAAGGCGCUCGGCUGGAACGCGUCCGACGGUGAGGGACGAAGGCCAGGGGAGCAAACCGGAUUAGAUACCCGGGUAGUCCUGGCUGUAAACGAUGCGGACGUUGUGUCGGACAAGCUAUGAGCUUGUCCGGUGCCGGAGGGAAACCGUUAAGUCCGCCGCCUGGGGAGUACGGCCGCAAGGCUGAAACUUAAAGGAAUUGGCGGG
rnacentral:rRNA from 1 species